rnacentral:rRNA from 1 species
GUUCCUGCGCAACGUUAAUCGACGCAGGGUUAGUCGGUUCCUAAAGCGAGGCUGAAAAGCGUAGUCGAUGGGAAACAGGUUAAUAUUCCUGUACUUCAGGUUACUGCGAUGGAGGGACGGAGAAGGCUAGGCCAGCUUGGCGUUGGUUGUCCAAGUUUAAGGUGGUAGGCUGAAAUCUUAGGUAAAUCCGGGGUUUCAAGGCCGAGAGCUGAUGACGAGUCGUCUUUUAGAUGACGAAGUGGUUGAUGCCAUGCUUCCAAGAAAAGCUUCUAAGCUUCAGGUAACCAGGAACCGUACCCCAAACCGACACAGGUGGUCGGGUAGAGAAUACCAAGGCGCUUGAGAGAACUCGGGUGAAGGAACUAGGCAAAAUGGCACCGUAACUUCGGGAGAAGGUGCGCCGGCUGGGGUGAAGGAUUUACUCCGUAAGCUCUGGCUGGUCGAAGAUACCAGGCCGCUGCGACUGUUUAUUAAAAACACAGCACUCUGCAAACACGAAAGUGGACGUAUAGGGUGUGACGCCUGCCCGGUGCCGGAAGGUUAAUUGAUGGGGUUAGCGCAAGCGAAGCUCUUGAUCGAAGCCCCGGUAAACGGCGGCCGUAACGAUAACGGUCCUAAGGUAGCGAAAUUCCUUGUCGGGUAAGUUCCGACCUGCACGAAUGGCGUAACGAUGGCGGCGCUGUCUCCACCCGGGACUCAGUGAAAUUGAAAUCGCUGUGAAGAUGCAGUGUAUCCGCGGCUAGACGGAAAGACCCCGUGAACCUUUACUGUAGCUUUGCACUGGACUUUGAGCCUGCUUGUGUAGGAUAGGUGGGAGGCUUUGAAGCGUGGACGCCAGUUCGCGUGGAGCCAUCCUUGAAAUACCACCCUGGCAUGCUUGAGGUUCUAACUCUGGUCCGUAAUCCGGAUCGAGGACAGUGUAUGGUGGGCAGUUUGACUGGGGCGGUCUCCUCCUAAAGAGUAACGGAGGAGUACGAAGGUGCGCUCAGACCGGUCGGAAAUCGGUCGCAGAGUAUAAAGGCAAAAGCGCGCUUGACUGCGAGACAGACACGUCGAGCAGGUACGAAAGUAGGUCUUAGUGAUCCGGUGGUUCUGUAUGGAAGGGCCAUCGCUCAACGGAUAAAAGGUACUCCGGGGAUAACAGGCUGAUACCGCCCAAGAGUUCAUAUCGACGGCGGUGUUUGGCACCUCGAUGUCGGCUCAUCACAUCCUGGGGCUGAAGCCGGUCCCAAGGGUAUGGCUGUUCGCCAUUUAAAGUGGUACGCGAGCUGGGUUUAGAACGUCGUGAGACAGUUCGGUCCCUAUCUGCCGUGGACGUUUGAGAUUUGAGAGGGGCUGCUCCUAGUACGAGAGGACCGGAGUGGACGAACCUCUGGUGUUCCGGUUGUCACGCCAGUGGCAUUGCCGGGUAGCUAUGUUCGGAAAAGAUAACCGCUGAAAGCAUCUAAGCGGGAAACUUGCCUCAAGAUGAGAUCUCACUGGGAACUUGAUUCCCCUGAAGGGCCGUCGAAGACUACGACGUUGAUAGGCUGGGUGUGUAAGCGUUGUGAGGCGUUGAGCUAACCAGUACUAAUUGCCCGUGAGGCUUGACC